rnacentral:rRNA from 1 species
UACAGGAGGGGCAAGCGUUAUUCGGAAUUAUUGGGCGUAAAGGGCGCGUAGGUGACGGCUUGGCAAGUGGAUUGGAUGAAAUCCCGUCGGCUUAACCCGAGGAAUCUGCCGUCCAAACUUGCUUCGCUUGAGACCGGGAGGAGGUGAGUGGAAUUCCCAGUGAGCGGUGAAAUGCGUAGAUAUUGGGAGGAACACCAGUGGCGAAGGCGGCUCACUGGACCGGUACUGACGCUGAUGCGCGAAAGCGAUGGGGAGCAAACGGGGAUUA